GUAUAUGUUUCACCUUGCUCGGUGGAGCAUCAAGACAUGCAUCAAGACAGGCUGGAAUGUAAUAAAUAAAGAGGGAGCACCUCAGCCCCACACCCCCAUUUGAAAUGGGAACACGAGACGACUCCAAACGGGAGAUGCUCACCAUAGGUGCACAGGUGUAUGUAAAGAUAUUGAAGGCGCGCACAUGCCUCAAACAAGAAGCCAGCGACAAGCCCCCGAAAUAUACUGUAAUGAUCCUUCCGCAGGUUCACCUACGGAAA
rnacentral:misc_RNA from 1 species